CUGACGGCAGCGACAACGUUCAGACUUGACCAUCGGCUCGACACUACACCAUCGCCACUUCUGCCCCUGUCUCAUCAACGACCUAGCAGAGUUUGAAGAUUAAUAAUCUCCAUGGAGGAUGGCGUUGCUAAUUUGUUCUAAUGAAGCUGGAGGACAUCUCAGAAGGAUUGUAUUUCAGACACUUUCACUCUGAACCUCAAUCCUGGAGGCCGAGCCUUCAGCUAUUUGCUUGCAGCAGAUUAGAAGCUUAAUUUGCAAGAUUGACAUUUUUGGUACUAGCAUAGUUACUUAAUUACAUUCUAUUCAUGCAUUAGCUCUGUUGAUUAUAUGCAAAUAUACAAAUAGAUUACGUCUGUCCAUUUCUUGUGUUAAAUUGCUCAUUGAAGAAUACCCUUUGAUACUUUAGCAAGUUUUUGGAAGUUCAGUUUGUAGUACUUUUUAUUGGUUAUUUGAUCAACUGCUCAUGUACCCUAAAAUAUUUAUCUGACGUGCCAUUUUAUUCGGGUCAUUUCAUGUUUCUGUAUAUUAAAAAUUCUUGAUAUAUACUUGUGAUAGCUAGGCCAUGGACAACAGUUAGGCUGUUCACGCCAUUUGAUGGACUAGCAAGGUUUUUGAUGUUUGUGCUUUAGAGAAGUUCACUGAAGCUUGCAAGUUGUUUCGCAAGACUCUGACAACCUUUCUCGCCUUCUGAUACUCUUCUAAAACACCAAGGUGAGAAUGGUUGCAGGAUUGAGUGAUAUUUUCAUGCAUUAUUAUCUUUCAACUUUUUUCUUGGGAAGUUCAGGCUCUUGCCUCACCAAGGUCGUACCUCUUGCACGCACAUGACGACAAAAAGAAUAUCCAAUACAACAAAGAGGGGUAAGCAUUAUGAAGAACAGCGGAAGAAUGGUAAAGCUUCGUUGCAAGUGUUAGCCUCCUACAAUGCUUAAUAUUCGAUUGUUUUUCGGCUAUUUCAGCUAAUUACUCCCAAGGAACUGAAGCAAAUAUUUGAGGAGUUGUAAUCACAAACACUCAUAUUAUAUAGGAGUAGAUAUUUUACUAUUCAAAUUAUGGCAUAUAUUUCUAUGAUUCCAUUAAAAAAAAUCCUAUGAUUCUAUCUGGCGCGGCAACAUGCGCCUUUAUGUUCUAGUAUAUACUAGAACGAAGUGAGUAUAUGGUCUUAGGCCUUUUCACACACAAAAAUUGGUCCCCAUAAAUGUUACCAUAAUUGGUAGAAAUUUAUGAGUAUACGGCAGUAGGGAAAUGUUGCUACGAAGGUAUCACAUUUUCAUAGUUACUUCAGUGAUAACCAAAUUGACCAUAUGUAGUUUUUAUUGUGGGGAAUCAUAUGUAGUUGCAACUGAAAGUGCACUAAAUUGUUUUUGACAUCUAUGACAACUUCAUUUGUGUUUCUAACCACAUGCUCUAGUGUAAACAGCACUGAUUAAAUUAAAGUGAAGCAUGGAUGGUUAUUUCCCCUCUUAUCGAAAAAAGGAAAAGCGGAGUGCCCAAGAAAAGCGGAGUACCAUACCGUUUUCUUAUUUCUUGAGUCCUUAGGAAAGCCGCACUAUUAAGAGGGGAUACAUCAUAAAAACAUCUGGGAAUCAACUUGUCCUCUCACAUGGUCUGAAAAAUCUCACAAUGAAAAGCUUCUGUUCAGGCCGAAACUUCCGGGACAACCGGAACUUCCGGGGACCGGAAGAUCCGGGAAGCUUCCGGGGCACCUAGAGAAACUGCUCUUUUGUGCAAACUCUCUGUGUAUCCUGGAACCUUGCCAGACCCAGGCCGGAACUUCCGUCCUCCAGAACUUCCGUCCCCUGUUCUAACAGCUUCCGGGGUACUACAGAGUGGAUGCAAACCCUCUGUGUAGCCCGGAACCUGGACAGAACUUGGCCGGAACUUCCGGGGUCUGGAACUUCCGUGUGUGGCCGGAACUUCUGGGAUACGUAGAAGUCUGCCUCCAAUGGCCAGAUUCCAUCCCCACCUAUAAAUAGUCUUCUUCUUCCUCAUGAAGAACGGGAUGACUCCAUUUCUCACCUCCAUAUUCAGACCUCGGUUUCUUGGAUAUGUCCCUCCUUAGCCACCCAAAACUCUUGAUCUUUUGUGAAGCAAAGGAGAAGUGCUCGAUCUACACAUUCACCAAAGCGAAAGUUGAUUCGCCCUUGUUUUUGUGGUGCAUCUUGUUACUCUUGGAGGUUGGAGACUCCUAGGCGGUAGGAGUGCUCCGUGGAGGAAUCGACCAUUGUGAUUUCCCUCGAAAAGUUUGUGAGGGUUUGGAGACCACCCCAAGGUCUACCACUAGUGGUUGAGAAACGCCUUCGUGGUGUUGUAUCAAAGGGAGAAUAGGGUGAGACUUCGUGGCGUU